UCCCAUGUCUCACUAGAAGACACAGAGCAGGAGGGGACGGUUGGGUGGUCGGUCAGGGUUUCACUGCAGCAGGUCUCCCUGAGUGGUGCUGGCCAACCUCCACCCUCCCCUGCUGCAUCAAGUGAACGUAUCUCUGAUGUGAUAAUAUCAAACAAAGGGAAAAUAAGAUCAGAGGGACAAAUCUAGUCUGCACACAACUGUCCUGGAACCUGGCUACUUUGUGACUCAGAGAGGCUCUGGUGUUAUUCUGUCACUGGGAGUGUGUUGCUGGCUCAGUGAACUGAAGUCACUGUGGAGUGGGGCCAGAGCUGCUCCGUGGGGGGCUCCGAGCUGGAGCCAAAGGAGCGUGGGCAUCCCAGAGGACAGCCUGCAACGGCUGGUGGUGGUGCUGACUGACGACAGGCGAUCUGGCCAUCAUUCCAUCGGGUGAGCCCUCCUAGGGGUCUGUGGGGACAUUGUCAGGGAGGAGCAGGGGGCUUCACAAGGAGGGAAGGCAGUGAGCAGAGCAGGGGACCCGGAGUAAGCAGGCUCUGUGGAGCCUGCA